rnacentral:snRNA from 1 species
AGGACUAUACUUUCAGGGAUCAUUUCUAUAGUUCGUUACUAGAGAAGUUUCUCUGAUUGUGUAGA